rnacentral:rRNA from 1 species
UUAACACAUGCAAGUCGAGGGGCAGCAUGGUCUUAUCUUGCUAAGGCCGAUGGCGACCGGCGCACGGGUGAGUAACACGUAUCCAACCUGCCGUCUACUCUUGGACAGCCUUCUGAAAGGAAGAUUAAUACAAGAUGGCAUCAUGAGUCCGCAUGUUCACAUGAUUAAAGGUAUUCCGGUAGACGAUGGGGAUGCGUUCCAUUAGAUAGUAGGCGGGGUAACGGCCCACCUAGUCUUCGAUGGAUAGGGGUUCUGAGAGGAAGGUCCCCCACAUUGGAACUGAGACACGGUCCAAACUCCUACGGGAGGCAGCAGUGAGGAAUAUUGGUCAAUGGGCGAGAGCCUGAACCAGCCAAGUAGCGUGAAGGAUGACUGCCCUAUGGGUUGUAAACUUCUUUUAUAAAGGAAUAAAGUCGGGUAUGGAUACCCGUUUGCAUGUACUUUAUGAAUAAGGAUCGGCUAACUCCGUGCCAGCAGCCGCGGUAAUACGGAGGAUCCGAGCGUUAUCCGGAUUUAUUGGGUUUAAAGGGAGCGUAGAUGGAUGUUUAAGUCAGUUGUGAAAGUUUGCGGCUCAACCGUAAAAUUGCAGUUGAUACUGGAUAUCUUGAGUGCAGUUGAGGCAGGCGGAAUUCGUGGUGUAGCGGUGAAAUGCUUAGAUAUCACGAAGAACUCCGAUUGCGAAGGCAGCCUGCUAAGCUGCAACUGACAUUGAGGCUCGAAAGUGUGGGUAUCAAACAGGAUUAGAUACCCUGGUAGUCCACACGGUAAACGAUGAAUACUCGCUGUUUGCGAUAUACUGCAAGCGGCCAAGCGAAAGCGUUAAGUAUUCCACCUGGGGAGUACGCCGGCAACGGUGAAACUCAAAGGAAUUGACGGGGGCCCGCACAAGCGGAGGAACAUGUGGUUUAAUUCAAUGAUACGCGAGGAACCUUACCCGGGCUUAAAUUGCAGAUGAAUUACGGUGAAAGCCGUAAGCCGCAAGGCAUCUGUGAAGGUGCUGCAUGGUUGUCGUCAGCUCGUGCCGUGAGGUGUCGGCUUAAGUGCCAUAACGAGCGCAACCCUUGUUGUCAGUUACUAACAGGUUCCGCUGAGGACUCUGACAAGACUGCCAUCGUAAGAUGUGAGGAAGGUGGGGAUGACGUCAAAUCAGCACGGCCCUUACGUCCGGGGCUACACACGUGUUACAAUGGGGGGUACAGAGGGCCGCUACCACGCGAGUGGAUGCCAAUCCCCAAAACCUCUCUCAGUUCGGACUGGAGUCUGCAACCCGACUCCACGAAGCUGGAUUCGCUAGUAGUCGCGCAUCAGCCACGGCGCGGUGAAUACGUUCCCGGGCCUUGUACACACCGCCCGUCAAGCCAUGGGAGCCGGGGGUACCUGAAGUGCGUAACCGCGAGGAGCGCCCUAGGGUAAAACUGGUGACUGGGGCUAAGUC